UGGGGAAUAUUGCGCAAUGGGGGAAACCCUGACGCAGCGACGCCGCGUGCGGGAUGAAGGCCUUCGGGUUGUAAACCGCUUUUGAUUGGGAGCAAGCUUUCGGGUGAGUGUACCUUUCGAAUAAGCGCCGGCUAACUACGUGCCAGCAGCCGCGGUAAUACGUAUGGACCGAGCGUUGUCCGGAAUCAUUGGGCGUAAAGGGUACGUAGGCGGCCCAGUAAGUUAGAAGUGAAAUAAUAUAGCUCAACUAUAUAAAGCUUUUAAAACUGCUAGGCUUGAGAGAUGGAAGGGAAAGUGGAAUUCCUAGUGUAGCGGUGAAAUGCGCAGAUAUUAGGAAGAAUACCGGUGGCGAAGGCGACUUUCUGGUCAUCAUCUGACGCUGAGGUACGAAAGCGUGGGUAGCAAACAGG
rnacentral:rRNA from 1 species